GGAAGGCCUGUAGAUCAGUGGAAGAGCUUCUGCCUUGCAUGCAGAAGGUCCCAGGUUCGGUCCCUGACAUUCCCA